rnacentral:rRNA from 1 species
GAUGAACGCUGGCGGCGUGCCUCAAACAUGCAAGUCGAGCGAGGCUAUGAAUUACCGCAAGGUAAGGCAUAGCCUAGCGGCGAACGGGUGAGUAACACGUGGGUAACCUACCUGGAAGACAGGGAUAACGAUUCGAAAGGGUCGCUAAUACCUGAUAAUAUCCGUCUGCCGGAUGGCGGAGGGAAGAAAGGGGAAACCCGCUUUCAGAUGGGCCCGCGUCCCAUCAGCUAGUUGGUAAGGUAAAGGCUUACCAAGGCGACGACGGGUAGCCGGUCUGAGAGGAUGUACGGCCACACUGGGACUGAGAUACGGCCCAGACUCCUACGGGAGGCAGCAGUUGGGAAUCUUAGGCAAUGGACGAAAGUCUGACCUAGCGACGCCGCGUGAGGGAAGAAGGCCUUCGGGUUGUAAACCUCUGUCAUGGGGGAAGAAGGAAGUGACGGUACCCCAAGAGGAAGCCCCUGCUAACUACGUGCCAGCAGCCGCGGUAAACUACUCGUA